AUUGAACGCUGGCGGCAUGCCUUACACAUGCAAGUCGAACGGCAGCACGGGCUUCGGUCUGGUGGCGAGUGGCGAACGGGUGAGUAAAGCAUCGGAACGUACCCGGAAGUGGGGGAUAACGUAGCGAAAGUUACGCUAAUACCGCAUAUUCUGUGCGCAGGAAAGAGGGGGAUCUUCGGACCUCUUGCUUUCGGAGCGGCCGAUGUCAGAUUAGCUAGUUGGUGGGGUAAAGGCCUACCAAGGCGACGAUCUGUAGCGGGUCUGAGAGGAUGAUCCGCCACACUGGGACGGAGACACGGCCGAGACUCCUACGGGAGGCAGCAGUGGGGAAUUUUGGAAAAUGGGCGCAAGCCUGAUCCAGCCAUGCCGCGUGAGUGAAGAAGGCCUUCGGGUUGUAAAGCUCUUUCGGCCGGGAAGAAAUCGGUGAGGCUAAUAUCCUCACUGGAUGACGGUACCGGAAUAAGAAGCACCGGCUAACUACGUGCCAGCAGCCGCCGUAAAAC
rnacentral:rRNA from 1 species